UACGUAGGGGUGCGAGCGUUGUCCGGAAUUAUUGGGCGUAAAGAGCUCGUAGGCGGUGUGUCACGUCGGCCGUGAAAAACCUGCAGCUUAACUGUGGGCGUGCGGUCGAUACGGGCAUCACUGGAGUUCGGCAGGGGGAGACUGGAAUUCCUGGUGUAGCGGUGAAAUGCGCAGAUAUCAGGAGGAACACCGGUGGCGAAGGCGGGUCUCUGGGCCGAUACUGACGCUGAGGAGCGAAAGCGUGGGGGAGCAAACAGG
rnacentral:rRNA from 1 species